rnacentral:lncRNA from 1 species
UAAACUUCCAAAAAUCAAAAAUAAUACAAAGAGCUAUACCAUAGAAGUGUUUCUCCCUCUCAUAUUCCUUCCACCCUGUUUCCCACCUUCUUGUUAGGUGACCUGCUUCAUCUCACUUCAUUCUUUACUGGUUUAUUCCUCCUAUAUUUCUAUUUUUUUGAAAGAUAUGCAGGUACAUGUAUUUCUCCCAUUUUUCCUUUUCCUCACAAAGGUUAGCACAGUAUACAUCCACUCUUUUGCAGUUGGUCAGGAAGAAACGCUUUCCAUGAGCUUUGGAGACUAGCAGCCUUCUCUGCAGUAUCUUAUGUUCAUUUAGCAAACACCUGAGUCUCCACAGAGAGCCAAGGCUGAUCAGUGAGUCCCAAGUCUACAGUGAGCUGGCUUCAUAGUGUAGACCUUUCUCAGGAAUGCUUCACGCCUAGCCCAGCCAAAGGACUGCGCCCUACAUUGCAUUCUUUUCUGUGCCUUGUUGACACCCUGCGGUUUCAGUGUGCAGACCCAUGUCUGUCACUGCCUUAGAUGACUGUUGUAGACCCUCACCUUUACGGAGUACAGACGUAUUAUCUAAAUGUUCCUUGUUGUCUGGUUCUGCCCUCCCUCACAAAAUCAAUCCUCCAGGAACAAAGCUUCCUCCUAUACUACGUCAUGAUGCUGAAAUCCUUCCCCUCCCCUCCAUCUCUCAACUUACCUCGACAGCUAUCUCUUUCUCUCUCUCUCUCUCUCAUGCUCAUGCGCGCGCACACACACACAUACACACACUCACACGUGUUUUCUUUAAAGGCUUAAAUUUUCCAUAACAGUGGGGGGUUCCCAAGGAAAAGGGGUGAAAGUUUUAAAAAUAGGUGCUUGCUGGGUAAUUUGCCAUUAAACAUCAGGGCACCAUUCUAGUAGGGAGAUGGCUCUUAAACCCUUCACUUCUGCUCGCCAGGGUCCUGCCCUCAGCACCUCAGGGAGGGCUGCCUCCCCGAGAUCAGCAGCUGGGGAGGUGCGGGCGGGGGUCAGGGUGACAGCCAAGCUAAGUGGAGGUCCCAGGAGGCUGGACAUGAUAACCACAGUGACUGUGGUUGCUCCGCCCGGUCCUCUGGCGGCAGCCAGAGCCUUCCCAGGUUUUGCCUUCGCCCGGUCCUCGCCCUUCAAAGCUUGGUAAGGUCCAGCCGUCCACCUGUGGCUGUCCUACAACAAAACCACUUCCAGGAAAAGGAAAGGGGGGUUACAUAAUUAGCAGAAGGGAGGAGCUUCAAAUCCUGGCACUCUAACACAGAGAUUGUUCACUUAAGACUACACAGUACUACUUAUGAAAAAAAACUGGCAGAAGGGUAUUUUACAUACUGUAAACCACACAUACCUUUAUUAUUACUUGCCAGAGGAACCCCUUCAUCUUGCCUAACUGCCAUUGUGUGUGUGUAGAGCAAUUUGGGUGAAAGAAGAACAUGUUUCACAAGCUUAAGUGUGGAUGCUUCACAUUUCUGGGAUUAGUGCUGUACCCUCCCCCAAAUUCAUGGUAAGUUUAUUUGAAAGCAGGUUCUAUAGCAACAAAUGCUUAGCAUUUUUGUAAUUUUCAAACACAGGCUACAAAGCAUAUGAGCUUUUAACAUCACUUACUGUUGGAAGCAGAUGUGGUUAAAGGCACAAAGAGAUUCACAAUUUAGGUUCAAGAUCCUAAUAUCUGAUUUGGUCUACUCAGAUCAAUAACAGCUUGUGGUGUGUGAUACAGUCAUUUUUCACAAAAGUCUCACUCCCCUUAGGAUGCCAUCUCUACUUCCUUUGUGAAGCCAGAAAUAUCAAAAAUUAAUCAUAAAUCACUGCCAUAAAAAUUUCAGAAGGUGAUUCUAGGAGCUUGUGAGAAUACUAGAAGGCAGUGGCAAAGCAUGAGUGACAACAUGCUGUUUUAAUCCACAGUCCCAGUUGUAUAAUUAAAAAGUAAUCAUAAUGACAGUUAUCAUAAAAAAGGCAUGCGCAGUAACUCAAACAGUUGCUUAGCAACCAGUGGAAAAAAUGCUGAAGUGCAAAGAGGCCUGCAUAAAUUAACCGAAAAUCCUCUGUCAAAGAGAUGGGCUAGUUUUUCUGCUACACUGGGUCAUCGUUUUUGUUUUAUUUUUUUAAUGCACAUAUGGGCCUCAUGAGUACGAAAAUCAGGGGUGAACGCAAGAGGUUUAAGAAGACUGCAUUUUACUCAGGAAUUGGAUUUCUGGAUCACUGCAGCAAGAACCAAGGUGUUCUCUCACCCUCUCAACCACCCCUACCCCUCACAUCUCUUCGAGAAAUGCGUUCGUCCUUCCCUAACUUAUGCCACAUAGUAUAUGACAAGAACUAUUUUAUUUACCAUCACCUUCAACACAGGGCCACAAUUUCUGGUCUGUUCUUUUCCUACCAUUCUGAGAUUUAUACACCCAAACAUUUUAUCUGUUUGAAAAGGUGCCUAUGAAAUGCAGUGAGAGUAAUUUGUAGAGAGCAACUUGCUUAAUGAGCAUUCUUUAUCAGCUAGCAGCACCCCAAAAGUCAGACCUCUUUGUAAUCGCGGAUUUAACACCUGACUCUCCCUCAAUGACACAUCUUCAUGGUGUCAUCUUCUACAUUGCCAACAGAUGGUGUCAUGUUUCUAUUGAUGGAGUACAGGCACAUCUCUGUACACCUGUGAUGGACACACUCUUAAUUUUAACUGUGCUACUGGUGAAAUAAAUAAGAAAUAAGCAGUUUGUGACCGAUAGUGCAACAAAGCUCUAAGGGGUAAGGCUAAAACAAUCUAGGUAUGACAUCUCUGUCUUCAGUAAGACCCUAAAAAUUCUAAACCCCAUAAGGAGACAAGUCCAGAGUUCUCUAUGCUCAUAAAGAAGAGAGCUGAAUGCUCUGAGACUUGGGGCCAAUACUGUAAAAUGAGAAAUAAACACAUUUAUUCUGUUUAAAAAAUAAAGGCUCACUGGACUUAAUAUACCUAUCCCACUUUCUUUUUUCCUCUCCUAAGAAUAAAGGACAAAGGCAAAAGGAGGACCUGGAAGUUAUCUAUGGAAGACUUCUUGGGAUAUGUUGUUUCCAUCAUCACUGAAAUAUCUCAGAGUCUGGCUUCCAAAGCCCUCCAGGAUAUGUCCUCAUUCUCUAAAAACCCAACUGGUACCACCAACACACUUCUCUUCUAGUCAGGAGAGUCUCUACUGUGUACCCCCAACUUUCAUGGGCAAUCCCCUCUUUAUGACCCAUUCCAGGUCUCCAGGCCUGACCUAGCUCUCACUCCAUAGCUGGAAAGUUCUCUGUGGUUUUUUCUCCUCUCCAAGUAUUUCCUUAUCCCUCCAGGACCAAGAACCCAUUGUCCAGAAAAAUGGAGGAAAUUCUCCUAAAUAUCAACUACACUUACUCUCAGUCCCCUCAUUGCUCAGAACCUAAUUCUUCCAUGUGUGUUAUUGUUUCUCUCCUCCCUACAGGGUGGGGUUCUCUUACAGACAUCAAACUCAUCCCCCUCCCUCCCAGAGCAAGGGAUUGGAUGGCCAGCUUCGGCAGACAAAGCCAGGAGGUCCUGGGCAGUACCUAGCUUCCACAUUACCUAUAGAAUACCUUGAGGUAGCACGAACACUUGCUGGAGUAAUUUAUUUUUUUCCUAAAUUACAGGUUAAAAAAAAAUUAAACAAACAAACAAAAAAGGAAGUGAAGCAGCCUGACAGUUCUGAAUUCUUGUCAUUUCUUUCUCUAAUUUGAGCUGAGCGAGGGCUUUUUUUUAAUACACCUUUUGAAAUGUGGUGGUUUUCUAUGCACCACCCUGCCCCCGGCCAGAAAGUUGCUUUUUUCCUUUUUAAGUACAGAACAAUAGUCUAAUUGUACAAUGUUGUUUACAGAAGGUGUUCUGUUUCUGUUGAAAUGCUUAUCCUAUCCCAAGGUGUUUUCCAUUAUGUCAUUUUACACAAUUUAAGGCCUAAAUAUAAAUUGCUACUUGGAAAGUACACUACUUCCCAGACAAAAAUGAGACCCCCUCCCCAAGACCACUGAUGGCCUGUGACAUCGGAUGGAUUUUACGUAAUGAUCUACCUCAGGCUAGAAAGUAUGGCUCUGAUGAGACAUGGGGUAAGUGGGGGAGGGGUACAACUUGAAAUACAAGUUUAAAGGCACUCACUGGUCUUACGGUUCACAGGUGUUGGUGGACAAGAACCUCUCCUCUUCAUGGAAGUGAACAGACACCGCGACGUGGCCAUGAGACCAUAGAGUACGAGAUGGAAAAGAGCCACAUACCACUGUGCAAGUGGUAGUUUGAACUCCUUGUAUGCAUGGCUUAUAUACACACACUACUGAGAUUUAAUUUGUUAUGCUUCAUCUGGGAACCGUUUUUUUUUUUCCUCAUUACCUCCACAAACCAAAAGUAUAAUUCCACAUCUAUACUAUGACUCUAAACUGGUGACUGCAUACAUUAUAAACUUUACAUAAAUGUCAGCUUUAGCUUUGAUUAUAUUUUAAGCUUAGAGACAUGCUGAAGGCUGAUAUGCUAGUUAAGAAAUCUACCUCUGGCCGGGCACGGUGGCUCAUGCCUGUAAUCCCAGCACUUUGGGAGGCAGAGGCGGGCCGAUCACCUGAGGUCAGGAGUUCGAGACCAGCCUGACCAACAUGGAGAAACCCCCUCUCUACUAAAAAUACAAAAUUAGCUGGGUGUGGUGGCGCAUGCCUGUAAUCCCGGCUACUAGGGAGGCUGAGGCAGGAGAAUUGCUUGAACCCAGGAGGCGGAGGUUGUGGUGAGCUGAGAUCGCGCCACUGCACUCCAGCCUGGGCAACGAGAGCGAAACUCAGUUUCAAAAAAAAAAAGAAAUCUACUUCUAGAAUACUGGUUAUGUCUUUUAAUGAUUUUUUUUUCCAGGACCAGGCGAAAAUUGAUAAUUAGUGAGGGUCUUUUAUGGUUUUUCUUUUUUACCUGCUCAAGCUGAUCUGUUGACCAGAAUAGCUAAUAGAUAGUGCUGAGAAAGAAAUCUUAACCAUAGCUGAAAUAAAUUGUUUAUAUUAAUAAGGGUUAAAAUGUGACUAUCUUACUUCAAUUAGAAAAUGAUGUCAUGAUUUAGAAUACUCACUUGAGGUUGGAAGGAUUUUACAGAAAAGCUAUCACAAUCCUAAAGGAAUCAAACAUAGCAAAGUCGUUUGGGAAGAAAACUUUAAAAAUUGGGUCAACACUGCAGGGCAGUAGGUGAAGUGUGCUGCUUCUUUUCAGGUUCAGGUUCCUAUGAAGUUUAAUAUAUAUCAUUGAAGAAUUUACUAGACCACAUUAGUGCCCCUACUUAUCAAGAGAGCCUGCAGAAACCUGAGCCAGUCAUGAAGCAGGUGUUACAAGCAUCUGCACUCCAUAUUUGCUACUGAGAUCUCUCAUCUCAGCCUUAUUGAGUAUUGAUUGGUGAUAAUUCCUAACAAGUUUGGAAAUAUCAUCACCUAGACCCUUGAAGCAAGAGCAAAACAGGGUGGGAUGGGAGUAGACUUGUUUGGGUCAUGGAAUCAGUAGCUGUUAAAAUCACCCCAAUGUUGGGGCACAGUGGCUCACACCUGCAAUCCCCGCCCUAUGGGAGGCUGAGGCAGGCUGAUCACUUGAGCUCAGGAAUUCAAGACCAGCACAGACAACAUGGAGAAACCUCAUCUCUACAAAAAAAAAAAUACAAAACUUAGCCAGGCGUGGUGGCAUGUGCCUGUAGUCCCAAGCUACUUGGGAGGCUGAGGUGGGAGGAUCGCUUGAGCCCAGGAGGCAGAGGUCGCAGCGAGCUGAGAUCAUGCCCCUGCAGUCCAGCCUGGUCAACAGAGCUGACUUUGUUGUCUCAACACCACCAAAAAAAUCACCCUAAUAGUCAUAAAGGACUACAGAUAAAUAAUGUCCCUGAGUUACCAAGACAAACAAAGUUCCCUGUUAGGAGACUGAAAAGGGUUCACUCAGCUCAAUAAGAAAGGCACCAAGACUUUGUCUAGAGUCUUAAAAACAAUCACACUCUGAUGCAUGAUUUUACUUUUGGUAAUCUACUCUGGGCUGAAACAGAUAAUCAUCAAGAUGUUCAUGACAGGAUUACUUAAAAUAAAUAAUUCAAAGCAGCCAAAACGUUUAACAGUUGUGGAAAGAACAAGUAAUAGAAUGCAAGAGAGUCUAAAAUUAUGUAUUUUAAAGAAAAAAAUGCUUGUUACGUCAUUAUAAAAAAAAAAAAAAAAAAAAA